rnacentral:rRNA from 1 species
GCCAGCCGCCGCGGUAAACACCGGCGGCCCGAGUGGUGAUCGUGAUUAUUGGGUCUAAAGGGUCCGUAGCCGGUUUGGUCAGUCCUCCGGGAAAUCUGAUAGCUCAACUAUUAGGCUUUCGGGGGAUACUGCCAGACUUGGAACCGGGAGAGGUAAGAGGUACUACAGGGGUAGGAGUGAAAUCUUGUAAUCCCUGUGGGACCACCUGUGGCGAAGGCGUCUUACCAGAACGGGUUCGACGGUGAGGGACGAAAGCUGGGGGGCACGAACCGGAUUAGAUACCCGGGUAGUCCCAGCCGUAAACGAUGCUCGCUAGGUGUCAGGCAUGGCGCGACCGUGUCUGGUGCCGCAGGGAAGCCGUGAAGCGAGCCACCUGGGAAGUACGGCCGCAAGGCUGAAACUUAAAGGAAUUGGCGGGGGAGCACAACAACGGGUGGAGCCCUGCGGUUUAAUUGGACUCAACGCCGGACAACUCACCGGGGGCGACAGCAAUAUGUAGGCCAAGCUGAAGACUUUGCCUGAAUCGCUGAGAGAGGUGGUGCAUGG